rnacentral:rRNA from 1 species
CUUACACAUGCAAGUCGAACGGUAACUCUUAGUGCUUGCACUAAAAGACGAGUGGCGGACGGGUGCGUAACGCGUAUGCAAUCUACCUUUUACUAGGGAAUAGCCCAGAGAAAUUUGGAUUAAUCCCCUAUAAUAUCAAAAAUUCGCAUGAUUUUUUGAUUAAAGUUUCGACGGUAAAAGAUGAGCAUGCGUCCUAUUAGUUUGUAGGUGAGGUAAUGGCUCACCUAGACUACGAUAGGUAGGGGCCCUGAGAGGGGGAUCCCCCACACUGGUACUGAGACACGGACCAGACUCCUACGGGAGGCAGCAGUGAGGAAUAUUGGACAAUGGACGAAAGUCUGAUCCAGCUAUGCCGCGUGCAGGAUGACAGCCCUACGGGUUGUAAACUGCUUUUAUACAGGAAGAAAAACUCCGACGUGUCGGGGCUUGACGGUACUGUAAGAAUAAGGAUCGGCUAACUCCGUGCCAGCAGCCGCGGUAAUACGGAGGAUCCAAGCGUUAUCCGGAGUUAUUGGGUUUAAAGGGUCCGCAGGCGGUUUUUUAAGUCAGAGGUGAAAUCCUACAGCUCAACUGUAGAAUUGCCUUUGAUACUGAAAGACUUGAGUUAUUGUGAAGUGGUUAGAAUGUGUGGUGUAGCGGUGAAAUGCAUAGAUAUCACACAGAAUACCAAUUGCGAAGGCAGAUCACUAACAAUUAACUGACGCUCAGGGACGAAAGCGUGGGUAGCGAACAGGAUUAGAUACCCUGGUAAUCCACGCCGUAAACGAUGGAUACUAGCUGUAUGUCUACUUCAGGUAGAUGUGUGGCCAAGCGAAAGUGA